AAACAAAAAAGAAGAAGAUAAG
rnacentral:sRNA from 1 species